rnacentral:lncRNA from 1 species
UCUAAUACAUCUCGAAACUCUAUAUUUCAUUAUUAUGCCUACAGAGAGAGACUAUGCUCAUCAUUACAAUCGAUAUACUCUUCUUUAAAUAUCUAUUUCAUCUCUCUCAAUCUCUCUGGUUUAUAUGUGGUUACGAUUCUCAUUCUCUCACAAUCUCUUUGAUUUUUCCGCCAGAACUAUUGUUUACUAACAAUCUUUCAUCUCUCCCAAUCUUUUUGGUUUCUCCGACGGAACCCUUGUUCCGAAACAGUCUUCCAUCUAUCUCAAUCGCUUUGGUUUCUCCGAAUUCUUGCUCCAAAAUAAUCUCGUACUCGCCGGAUCAUGUUCUUCAGUCUCACCGUAUUGUAAGUUUUUUCCUUGUGUUUCCUUUUUGAAUCUAGUUCAGCAUUAGGGCUUACACACGCUUCAUAUACUAUUCAAGUUCCAGUCAUUAAUUCUAUCUAAGUUCAUGUUGGCAAUUAUGGAGACCAUAGAGUUACCAUUUCAGAUUUUUGCUGCUGGCCACACACAUCAGCAAGAAUAUUAACCGGCUAUGCCAGUUUGUGUUACGACUAUAUAUUUUGGGAAAAUAUUUUGUAAGAUUUCCAAGUUAUGUAUGCAACUUUGUUUUCUGUUUGACUCUUUCUAUGUGAUAUAUUAACCGGUUAUGUUAGUUUGUGUUACGGCUAUGUAAUUUGGAAAACUUUUAUGUAAGAUUACUCAGAUAUUUAUGCAACGUAUGUUAUUUGUUUGACUCUUGCCAUUUGAUAUGUUAGCAAAC